UCUAGAAAAAGAGAUAAAAGAGAGAGAAAAAAAAGUAUUCACCAGCAUCACACACACACCCCUCCCCCCCACCCAAAUCCACAACCUUUUAAAAAGAAAAGUCUUUAAAAACCAAAGUAUUUUCCCUUGAGCUUUCUCUGUGUGUUUGUAAUAGGAAAGAUGAAAGGGGCAUGGAAAGAAAAAGAGGGAGAUAAAAGACUUCAUUCACACAGGCCAAACCUACUAAGCCAAUUAAAAGUAUGAAAAGUCAAGGUCUAAAUGGGCUCAGGACAAGGAGCAGGUCUCUUCUGUUUUGAAUAAUUAACCUUUUUUUUUUUUUGUGGAUUGGUUUUGUUUUAGACAAGUUGAAGCUGCCAAAAUUUCACCUGCCCCAGUGGUUGGAGCAUACAAUUAAAUGGCUGAUUUGAUAUGCAUACACUUCAUUCAAUGGAAUAAAUCUGUCGGUUUUGAUUUUGCCUCAGUCUCUAGUGAUAUAUCAGCAAGAUGUGGACAGAGAAUGGGAAGCUUUAAUGAACACCACAGAAAUAUUCCUUCACCAGUCGUAUGGCUAUGCACAUGUGAGAGGGACACAGGAGGAGACAGGGAUGCUGACCACAGGCUCCUUGCAGUAGGUGGACUCAGGGGCCAGACUGUAAUGGCAGUGAUGGACAUGGAUUCACAGGGAGAAAGGCAUCCCAGAAGCAGAAGAAUUAGUCAAGCAGAGACACAGAAGCAAGAGUUAGUUGUGUGCAGGGACUGGCAAGCAGGCUGGCUCGGCUGAGAUAAAGGAAAAAAAAAAAAAACAACUCAAAAGAGAUGCGGUAUAAAAGAGGAUUUGAAUGGAGACCUUGAAUCCUAGGCUGACAAGUCUGGACUUGAGUACAAAGAUAUAUUGUAACAUUUUCCUGAGCCACCGUUUGCCUGUGCUCCUAAAAGAAGAGAAAAAGGCCUCCAGUUAGAGGCCAUCAACAAAAAUGCUGAAUGGGUCAUCGUAUUUCCUAAAAGUCAAGAACAAAGAAGACCCAGACAAGGCUUCUGAGAACUAUGGAGACGUAUCCAGAUGCCACACUGAAAAUACAAUUCCACCACCCAUCCAUUAUUUGCUCAGGCAUAUAACAAGACAUCUCUUUUCACUGGUUUCUCUUCUGCCACCUGUUAAAUUAGAAAAACAACUAGUCUUAUAAAUGAAUAAAGGUGCUUAUUAUAGAUACAUACCACUUCCCAAGCAAAGAAAAUCAGGCCUUAGAAGAAAGUAUAAGGGAAGGUAGAUGUAUUAACUAUGUAGAUCAUGCUUAUUUGCCUCUUGAGAGAUGGCUUCUCUCCUCAAAUUCAAUGGAGCUGUAAUUUGAAAAAUCAGGCCUGUAGGCACUUUUAGGAUAUAAUGACAUUUGCACACAUGAUCACAUGCUUCAGGGAAAAAAAUGAAAUCAGGAGGACACACUGGUAAGCUGUGGGCUUAUUGUGGGCACCACAGCAUACAAAGUCACUAUAUGAAUUCCCAGAUUAGGACAUAGUUUGAUGGUUUUCUUGGUUCUCUUAAGAGCUUGGUGGAAAUUAAGUCUGUUUUACCUAAGGUAACCUCAAGUCCCCUGGCUGCUAAAAUGAUAUAAUGGUUUGCUCUGAAAUUAGCUACUAAAGUAACACAAUUCUUUGCUAUCUGAGUAUAAAAGCAGAAGCCAGAAAUUCAUUCUUACAGAGUAAGAACUCAUUUUUUGCCAUAGAGUAAAACAUUCCAACCCUCCAAAGUCACUCUAGGGAUUUGGGUUUCAUUUUUUCCUUUAAAAAGACAUUUUUCCCCUGGAUAUUCGGAAGAGUGUAAACAAAAGCCACAGAAAACACAAGUUAGGGCACUGAAGUAUAGCGUAGCACUCUCUUAUGGGAAAAAUGCCAGUGUGCUGUGGCAGAAGGCAGAUGAACACUGUCUCUUCUCCCGCUCCCCACUUCAAACCAGAGUCUCAUGUAGUUUCCCUACCCAGAAAGGAAGAGAAAACAAAUAAUAGCUACCGUGACAACAACGACGUGAGAUUUCAUAAAAUAGAUUACUUUUGGUGGAACAAAUACCUGACACCUUUCAACCUCAAACAGUACAGUCUGAGACGCCACAGUCCAGGUUUCAAUCUUAACGCUAUGAAAUUCUGGAGUUUUAUUUCAUUCCAAAACUUGGAGUCUUAAGAUGCUUUAAGAACACUAAUUGUGGUGGACAUUUUAUUGGGUAAUUAUAUUUAUCAUGAUCUCCUCCACCUUGUCUCUGCUCCUCUGUCCCAUUUUGUAGCACUCCAAUCCUGUGACUUCCAAUUAGGUGACAAGAAGUGUCUAAAUUCUUAUCUGUGGUAUUUCAUCAUAAAUUUUGUAUAAGACUAUUAUAUGAACUGACAACAGCUAUGGGCCUGGAGACAAAAGGAUUAAGACACACUAAAAAGGUGUGGACAAAUGAACACAGGUAUAAAACCUGAACUGUAUUUCAAGUCUUUUGCUCUUUCUUCAAAUUUUUGCUACCUUUGGCCAACAUCAACAGUACUAGGUCAUUUAACAAAAAAGAUCCAUUAAAACUUAAUUCGGCUAUAUG